AAUCCAUAGGUUAAUGAGGCGAACCGGGGGAACUGAAACAUCUAAGUACCCCGAGGAAAAGAAAUCAACCGAGAUUCCCCCAGUAGCGGCGAGCGAACGGGGAGGAGCCCAGAGCCUGAAUCAGCAUGUGUGUUAGUGGAAGCGUCUGGAAAGGCGCGCGAUACAGGGUGACAGCCCCGUACACAAAAGCGCAUGUGCUGUGAGCUCGAUGAGUAGGGCGGGACACGUGGUAUCCUGUCUGAAUAUGGGGGGACCAUCCUCCAAGGCUAAAUACUCCUGACUGACCGAUAGUGAACCAGUACCGUGAGGGAAAGGCGAAAAGAACCCCGGCGAGGGGAGUGAAAAAGAACCUGAAACCGUGUACGUACAAGCAGUGGGAGCACCCUUCGGGGUGUGACUGCGUACCUUUUGUAUAAUGGGUCAGCGACUUAUAUUCUGUAGCAAGGUUAACCGAAUAGGGGAGCCGGAGGGAAACCGAGUCUUAAUUGGGCGUUAAGUUGCAGGGUAUAGACCCGAAACCCGGUGAUCUAGCCAUGGGCAGGUUGAAGGUUGGGUAACACUAACUGGAGGACCGAACCGACUAAUGUUGAAAAAUUAGCGGAUGACCUGUGGCUGGGGGUGAAAGGCCAAUCAAACCGGGAGAUAGCUGGUUCUCCCCGAAAGCUAUUUAGGUAGCGCCUCGUGAAUUCAUCUCCGGGGGUAGAGCACUGUUUCGGCUAGGGGGCCAUCCCGGCUUACCAACCCGAUGCAAACUGCGAAUACCGGAGAAUGUUAUCACGGGAGACACACGGCGGGUGCUAACGUCCGUCGUGAAGAGGGAAACAACCCAGACCGCCAGCUAAGGUCCCAAAGUCAUGGUUAAGUGGGAAACGAUGUGGGAAGGCCCAGACAGCCAGGAUGUUGGCUUAGAAGCAGCCAUCAUUUAAAGAAAGCGUAAUAGCUCACUGGUCGAGUCGGCCUGCGCGGAAGAUGUAACGGGGCUAAACCAUGCACCGAAGCUGCGGCAGCGAACGUAUCACCCAAGACAACUUUGCGGAGUUGACGAUUGACGGAGCGAAGCGACGUCAAAGCGUUCAUUAAAGUCGAGUUGGCUUAGGGAUACGUUCG
rnacentral:rRNA from 1 species